UGGUGGGGACUCCCAGCUCUAGGAGCUGGUCACUCAGCUUCAAACAAAUCUGCAUCACACUGGGAGUUUCCACCCCUUUUUCUAUGUCAAUGAUUCCCAUUUGUCCCUAGUGCCUGGGGUUUCAGGUCCUGUUUGGUGGUGAAUGCUGAGGCUUUGCUGGCCUUUCAUUUCUGCCACUUAAGCUCUUUCUAAAGAACUGGGACUCAAACAUCAAUUCUAUGAUGUUUCUGGCGGCCGAGCUGCAGCAAAAACUCUCCAGAGAACCAUGUUUACAGCUGUGACCAUUCAUGAUCUUAACAAUAGGAAUCAACGAUCCAAAAACAACUUAUACGGUGCUUAACACACAAAUGGGCUGGCAUCCUAGAGGAGUUCAGAGAAAUAAUGUUUGAAGGGCCUGUGGUAAGGAAUAAUUUAUUUUGCUAAAGUGAACUAGACCGUCUCCAAAAUCUUGCAGGAACAAACUACUUGCUUGGCAAUUUGACAAAAAUUCUUUAAAGAGUUAUGCAAAUACAUCUUGGCUCUCCUAACAGCAAAGAAGAUUUUCCAAAUCGCUACCAAAUCUUCAAGGAAUCCAAAAGACACAGAGAAGAGAGCAGAGGCCUUACACUCACCUGCUGAUGCAGUCUCCUGUGAGGGGGUCGCAGUUGCCCGCGCAGUCACAGGGCCUGCAGCCGUAGUCUCCGAAGCCCCAGUAUCCCACCAUACACCUGUCACAGUGUGGCCCUGCCACCCCAGGCUUGCAAGGGCAGUCACCAUUGCUGGGGUCACAGAAGGUCACUGAGCUGAAAGGAAGGACAGCUGAUCCAACUGGAUGGCAGGAACACACUACAACAAAGAGGACACACAAGCACCCAUGAGCAACUGGAUUAUCUAUGUGGAGAUGAGGCCCAGCCGUCCCCAAAUGGCUUCCCUGCACCACCUAGCAUUCCUCCGAGGCUCCUUCUUUAUCCAUUUGGCAUAAUGCUCCGAGAAUAAAAGCUAAUGAAGUUAAAGAUAAGAAGAUAUAAUCAGAAAGUCCUGUCUGUUGCAAAAUGAGCCACAUAAUUUAUUCUAAGAUUAAAGUCACUAAAUAUGAAUGACUUUUGGUUGAAGGUGAUAAGAAUGAAUCAGCAAAGAAGACAAAGAAGGAACAGUUUUGGGAAAGGAAAAAAAGUAAUGAGAAUACAGUGUUCUGGAAGGCAAAGUUCCACCCUCCCCACCCCCCCAACCCCCCC